GCUUGAUAUGUUGUGUGUUGUGUGUUAUACAAAUGCCAAAUGUCAUCCCAUAUUUAUAGGGGUGGCUUGCCAAGCUCUUGAGUGUCUAGAGAGUUCUACCACUUCCUAGCUUUGUACAUGUACUAGAAUUCUAUGGAGAAUUCUAGAGAGUAUUUCCAAGCUCAAAUGGACUAGAGUUCUCUAGAACGUUCCGGAAUCUAGAGUUGCAUAGAAUGUUCCGGAAUUGGGCUCUUUAUUUUUCAUAAUUUCUUAAGCCCAAAUAAUUAUUACAAAAUCAAGUUUAUUUUUAUUUUCAACACCCCCCUAGAAUGUUCCGGAAUUGGGCUCUUUAUUUUUCAUAAUUUCUUAAGCCCAAAUAAUUAUUACAAAAUCAAGUUUAUUUU
rnacentral:lncRNA from 1 species